AGUCGAACGGCAGCGCGGGGCAACCUGGCGGCGAGUGGCGAACGGGUGAGUAAUAUAUCGGAACGUACCCAAGAGUGGGGGAUAACGUAGCGAAAGUUACGCUAAUACCGCAUACGAUCUAUGGAUGAAAGUGGGGGAUUCGCAAGAACCUCAUGCUCCUGGAGCGGCCGAUAUCUGAUUAGCUAGUUGGUGAGGUAAAGGCUCACCAAGGCGACGAUCAGUAGCUGGUCUGGGAGGACGACCAGCCACACUGGAACUGAGACACGGUCCAGACUCCUACGGGAGGCAGCAGUGGGGAAUUUUGGACAAUGGGCGCAAGCCUGAUCCAGCAAUGCCGCGUGAGUGAAGAAGGCCUUCGGGUUGUAAAGCUCUUUUGUCAGGGAAGAAACGGCUGGGGAUAAUACCCUCGGCUAAUGACGGUACCUGAAGAAUAAGCACCGGCUAACUACGUGCCAGCAGCCGCGGUAAUACGUAGGGUGCAAGCGUUAAUCGGAAUUACUGGGCGUAAAGCGUGCGCAGGCGGUUUUGUAAGUCUGUCGUGAAAGCCCCGGGCUCAACCUGGGAAUUGCGAUGGAGACUGCAAGGCUUGAAUCUGGCAGAGGGGGGUAGAAUUCCACGUGUAGCAGUGAAAUGCGUAGAGAUGUGGAGGAACACCGAUGGCGAAGGCAGCCCCCUGGGUCAAGAUUGACGCUCAUGCACGAAAGCGUGGGGAGCAAACAGGAUUAGAUACCCUGGUAGUCCACGCCCUAAACGAUGUCUACUAGUUGUCGGGUCUUAAUUGACUUGGUAACGCAGCUAACGCGUGAAAGUAGACCGCCUGGGGAGUACGGUCGCAAGAUUAAAACUCAAAGGAAUUGAC
rnacentral:rRNA from 1 species